rnacentral:rRNA from 1 species
AACGUGGGCAAUCUGCCUUAAAGUGUGGGAUAGCUCGGCGAAAGCCGAAUUAAUACCGCAUGUGGCUACUGGAGACAUCUUCGGGACGCUAAAGGUGGCGCAAGCUACCGCUUUUUGAGGAGCCCGCGGCCUAUCAGCUAGUUGGUGAGGUAACGGCCCACCAAGGCGAAGACGGGUAGCUGGUCUGAGAGGACGACCAGCCACACUGGAACUGAGACACGGUCCAGACACCUACGGGUGGCAGCAGUCGAGAAUUUUUCACAAUGGGCGCAAGCCUGAUGGAGCGACGCCGCGUGGGGGAUGAAUGGCUUCGGCCCGUAAACCCCUGUCAUUCGCGAUCAAACCCCAUUAUUUAAAAGAUGGUGGGCUGAUAGUAGCGGAAGAGGAAGGGACGGCUAACUCUGUGCCAGCAGCCGCGGUAAUACAGAGGUCCCAAGCGUUGUUCGGAUUCACUGGGCGUAAAGGGUGCGUAGGUGGCGAGGUAAGUCGGAUGUGAAAGCUCGGAGCUCAACUCCGAAAUGGCAUUGGAAACUACCUUGCUCGAGGGUUGGAAGGGGGACUGGAAUUCUCGGUGUAGCA